AGAGAAUUGGCUGAGCGGUUUAAGGUGGUAAAUUUGAAACUUACUUGGUGUUAAACAUCACAUCCGUUCAAAUCGGAUAUUCUCUG
rnacentral:tRNA from 3 species